CUCUAUCCCUCUCCCUUCCUCUCUGUAAAAAAUCAAUAAAAUAUAUUUUAAAAAAAAUUUCACCUUUUGUGUAUAACACUGGAAUAUAUGGUAUCAAGAACCAAAAAGCUUUAAGUAGUCUGAAUUUUGAUAGAUUGAUAAUAAAAGUAAAAAUAUACACUCUAAUAACUACAAACAUGUUUCCUUUAACAAUAGCAAAAGAUUAUUAUGAUUUAACUAUAGGAACAUACUGAAAUCUUCAUAAUCAUAUUUCUAUUAGUGUUUCCAUUUUCAAUACAGAGUGGCUGCUAUGGUUGAGAAACUGAAAUUCAAUAAAAUUUUAAUUUUGGAAGAUUUAAAAAUCAAUUAUUCAUUUUACAGUGAACAACCACUUAAAGUUAAUACUCAAAGGAGCAAUUUACCAACUACAAGGAACAACUUUACCCACUGUUAAUUUGCCAACCAAUAAAGGAUCAAAAUAACAAAAUACCUGUGUAGUAGUAAAUAAUGUCCAAAAGGCACAUGCAUUUCUACUGAAAUGUAGACAACUCUUAUUAGCUCACAGUGUAAUUAGUAGGUGCUGCAUUUUGCAAGGGCAACUUGGCCUUCAUCAUAACAAAACCACCAUAGCAUUUCUGACAACCAAACCUUCCCUUAAAAUAAGAGCAAGGUAGGUCAAUUUUACCAUUACUUUAAAAGAUUUAGUUCAAACUGUUCUGAACUGAUAGAUCAGUUCAAAACCAAGUGAAUUUUUAGUCUGCUUAGUAAAAAGGGUUGGAAAAUAUUCACUCCAAAUAAAAGUCACUUGGGGAAAGACACAUUAGUCAGCACUCUGCUGUCCUGGUGCAAAGUAUCAGAAACAUCCCAGUAUUUUCUACAACUUUUACUUGCAAUUCUAGAGGGUGGUCAGGUAGCCCUACCAUGGAAGUAGCUUAUCUUUCAAAUCUUCUAUGAAGACUAGAAUAACCACUGGAUAACCUCAGAAAGAUAAAGUAUUUUUCUUCGUCUCUUCAUUAGCUUUUAUAACAAAAUUUUACUACAUUUCCUGAGUCCUGGCCCAAAUCCCCUACAUUAAAUAGGCUUUUACUUUGCCUAGCAUGCAAAUCAAUAGGAGCAUGCCAAUUCACUUUAUAUAUUUCUGAUUUGCUUAAUGUUUCUCCUUGCAACUAAUUAUUUUUGGCAAACUAGAAGCUUCUAGCAGCAAAUUGAGAAAUUGCUAUAGUAUAGGAAGGUAAGUUAUUUAAGAUGUUUAAGCUGAGUACAAUUUGUUUCUUUUGAGAGUCACAAAUUAAGCUUUAUCUUAGCUUACAUUGCAAAACCCACUGCAAUAGAACCUUGAUAGAACUGCUUUGUUUCCAAAUGCUUAAUGUAAAAAAUAAAUCAUAGUUCCUAAGUGUUGCUUGCCACAUGGACUUUUAGAACUCUGGAAUGAAUAAAAUGGUUCCACUUCACUUAACCAAUGAUCUGUUUAUAUUAUUUUAUGCCAACUUGGGAACAAUGCUAUUCUUUCAUAUGCUAAACUAUAAUCUAGGUUCCAAAUGACAAUUUUGGUGUUUUGCUCUCUGAAGCAUAUACUUAGGGAAUAAAUGUUUUUUGCCUGGAAUUCAAAACACUUUUAAUAUUCAUCAUCUUUACCAUUUACUUCAAUCAAGAUCUGAAUAAUAAUGUCUUCAUCUAAUAAACAACAAUAAUUUUUCUAAGAGGAUGCAUAGGUAGGGGAAGAAACCCAUUUCAUACAAUACAGCACCAGUGUGCUUUUGAGAUAGCGGGAAAAGGGAACACUCUAGAGGGGCAGACCCGGCAAACAGUUUGGAUAUCUCUUCAGAGUGCUCCAAACUUGGAUGACUUUUUUGUUAUAUAUCACCUUGAUUAAUGGAACACAUUUGCUAAAGUGGUUCUGUAAUAGCUACACAAUUCUUAUGGCUUGAAAAAUGCAGCCUAGAAAAAGUGAUGGGGAUGAAAAAAACCUUCAAAACUCACUGGGUUCUCUUUCAGAAUCAAUACUGCCCCUGAACGGAAACAGUUACUUUUCUUUUUAAAAAUAAAGACAAUACAUUUUAAGGAAAGUACAAUUUUGUGAGAUGGGAGUAGAAAUAAACAAGUAGAGGAUAUUUUGGGAGGAGAAGUUGUGGCAUGUCAAGGCGUCCAGAUUCUGGGUGGAGCCAGGCUACUUGUGUUUGAAUUCCAACUAUUUGUCUCAUGAACUGGGCAAUUUAUUUAACCACCCUGUUUUUAGUUUUUCCAUCUGUCAAAUACUACCACUCCUAUCUCUCUGUGUUGCUGUGAUGAUUAAAUAAAUUAAUCCUUGUAAAAGAGUUUCAACAGUGUAUGGUACAAAUUAAAUACAUAAGUAUUGGUCAAUAUUA